GAACGAACGCUGGCGGCAGGCUUAACACAUGCAAGUCGAACGCCCCGCAAGGGGAGUGGCAGACGGGUGAGUAACACGUGGGAACGUACCCUUUACUACGGAAUAACGCAGGGAAACUUGUGCUAAUACCGUAUGUGCCCUUCGGGGGAAAGAUUUAUCGGUAAAGGAUCGGCCCGCGUUGGAUUAGCUAGUUGGUGGGGUAAAGGCCUACCAAGGCGACGAUCCAUAGCUGGUCUGAGAGGAUGAUCAGCCACAUUGGGACUGAGACACGGCCCAAACUCCUACGGGAGGCAGCAGUGGGGAAUAUUGGACAAUGGGCGCAAGCCUGAUCCAGCCAUGCCGCGUGAGUGAUGAAGGCCUUAGGGUUGUAAAGCUC
rnacentral:rRNA from 1 species